ACUGCUGAUGGUGUUAAUGGACUUAAUUCCCUCUUUGUCUUUGGCUUUCAAGAAAAGAAGAAGAAUACAAAUAGAAUGUUUGUGGGAGCACAGAGCCGUGGUGGGAGCUAUAGAAGAGUUAAACAGUCUGUUCCAAAUGUGUGAAAUAUUUGAGGCCAGAGCCAGCCUUCAUAACCACACAUAUGCAAGUUUUGCUUGUGCAGGUGUUAACCUGCCAUCAGCAACAAUCUCAGGAUCAUCGCUUGGAUAAAAAGAAUCCCAUUGCUUUGGAAAAAACUACCGAUGUCAAUCGAGUUACGGAUCUCUCUGUUUCUCCUUUCUUUAAAUGUCAUCGUGUCCUACGCCCAUGCCACGUGAAUUUGGGGAUAUUCACGAGGACACCCUUUUUCCUAUAUUCCGUCUGGCGUAAUUUAACUCUUCAGCGGAUGGAUGGAGCAACUGUAGAUGCCUGGCUGUAUUUCCCAGGCAUAUAAAGGGGGAAAUUCUUCCAAUCUCCAAGGGUUGUUGAUGCAAUGCCCUCCGGCACAUCUCGACAUGGCGGUAUACUGUGUGUGAAUACAGAGAUUAGGUACUACACCAUCUGAUCUUAAUCAUCCGCUGUAACAUCUUAUAAAUAAUAACCAUUUGAUUGGAUUCUUUUGGGGGCCACAAUUACCUUUCAAUCACCGGCAAUGAUCCAUCAAUAAUCUAUAAGAAACACGGGAGACUCGCCCCACAAUGGGGAGGAUUCUCAUUCCACAAUAACAAUAUAACAAUGCGCCAAGCUGUUAUGAAGUAGUAUAAGAAGAAUAUCAAUUUUCUAUUUGAUACUAUUUUCACGGUUCGUUUAGUUCAAGAAGAAUAGGUUGCUGGAUUAUACAAGUCUUUGUCUACUAUUUGGCCGGAAACGAAACAGAAGGAGAACAUUCGUUUUUCGUCUCUAAGAAUUCCAACGUCAUUUCAGCGGGGGCAUUCCUUAAUCAUUUCUCGGAAUAAACACAAGUCUAGAAUUGAAUUGAGGAAAUGUAUCAUUUCGGCUUGACGUUGUGUAUUUCGCCACAAUGGGGAAUAAACCGCACACACAAUGACGCACGUUGCUUUGAUAUAAAUUUAGUUCAUCCAUCGGUUGAGGCCGGGUGACGACGACAUUUGAAUGAGAAAAUGAAAAUCGCCCACAGGCGAUUGAAUCAUUAUUAUAGCCGGCUGAACAAAAAAAAUAAUAAUCAAAAAAUUCUUUCGCCGCUGUUGGUGGUGCUGUGCUGCGCUUUGAUUAUCAUACGCGUUGCGUGUUUUGUCCGUCUAUGAAUUUAACAUGACGUCAUUUUCAUUUGCGCUGGU
rnacentral:lncRNA from 1 species